rnacentral:lncRNA from 1 species
AACGGACCCUGAGUUCAAAAUUAAACUGAUCCAAUAAGGAAUUUCCCAACACAUGCUUGGAGUUUUGGGGUAUGAGUGAAUUAUACGUAAUUUAUAUGUUUUUCCUUUUUGUUACCUGUAUAAUCAUGUACAGGAGAUUUUUUUUCCCAUAUGUCUCUUGUAUCCACAAAUUCGUGAUUGUCUCACUCUUCGUCCAGCCUGUCCGUCAUUUCUGUGUCUUGUCUUUCUCGAACAUUAAUGACGACAGGCUGGAGAAGAGAAAAAC